GUCGUUGUAGUAUAGUGGUGAGUAUUCCUGCCUGUCACGCAGGUGACCCGGGUUCGAUCCCCGGCAACGGCG
rnacentral:tRNA from 2 species